rnacentral:rRNA from 1 species
CCUACGGGAGGCAGCAGUGGGGAAUAUUUGCACAAUGGGGGGAAACCCUGAUGCAGCGACGCCGCGUGGAGGAAGAAGGUCUUCGGAUUGUAAACUCCUGUUGUUGAGGAAUGAUAAUGACGGUACUCAACAAGGAAGUGACGGCUAACUACGUGCC